UUGUUGUACACACACUGAAAGACCCCCAGAGUGGGAAGACCCUCACUCAAGUCUCGGGAUGAUGCGACCCCCCAAGAACUCACGUAAGACC
rnacentral:pre_miRNA from 14 species